rnacentral:rRNA from 1 species
GAUGAACGCUGGCGGCGUGCUUAACACAUGCAAGUCGAACGGUGAAGCCAAGCUUGCUUGGUGGAUCAGUGGCGAACGGGUGAGUAACACGUGAGCAACCUGCCCUGGACUCUGGGAUAAGCGCUGGAAACGGCGUCUAAUACUGGAUAUGAGCUCCUUCCGCAUGGUGGGGGUUGGAAAGAUUUUUCGGUCUGGGAUGGGCUCGCGGCCUAUCAGCUUGUUGGUGAGGUAAUGGCUCACCAAGGCGUCGACGGGUAGCCGGCCUGAGAGGGUGACCGGCCACACUGGGACUGAGACACGGCCCAGACUCCUACGGGAGGCAGCAGUGGGGAAUAUUGCACAAUGGGCGGAAGCCUGAUGCAGCAACGCCGCGUGAGGGAUGACGGCCUUCGGGUUGUAAACCUCUUUUAGCAGGGAAGAAGCGAAAGUGACGGUACCUGCAGAAAAAGCGCCGGCUAACUACGUGCCAGCAGCCGCGGUAAUACGUAGGGCGCAAGCGUUAUCCGGAAUUAUUGGGCGUAAAGAGCUCGUAGGCGGUUUGUCGCGUCUGCUGUGAAAUCCCGAGGCUCAACCUCGGGCCUGCAGUGGGUACGGGCAGACUAGAGUGCGGUAGGGGAGAUUGGAAUUCCUGGUGUAGCGGUGGAAUGCGCAGAUAUCAGGAGGAACACCGAUGGCGAAGGCAGAUCUCUGGGCCGUAACUGACGCUGAGGAGCGAAAGGGUGGGGAGCAAACAGGCUUAGAUACCCUGGUAGUCCACCCCGUAAACGUUGGGAACUAGUUGUGGGGACCAUUCCACGGUUUCCGUGACGCAGCUAACGCAUUAAGUUCCCCGCCUGGGGAGUACGGCCGCAAGGCUAAAACUCAAAGGAAUUGACGGGGACCCGCACAAGCGGCGGAGCAUGCGGAUUAAUUCGAUGCAACGCGAAGAACCUUACCAAGGCUUGACAUAUACGAGAACGGGCCAGAAAUGGUCAACUCUUUGGACACUCGUAAACAGGUGGUGCAUGGUUGUCGUCAGCUCGUGUCGUGAGAUGUUGGGUUAAGUCCCGCAACGAGCGCAACCCUCGUUCUAUGUUGCCAGCACGUAAUGGUGGGAACUC